rnacentral:rRNA from 1 species
AAGCGAAACCGCGAGGUGGAGCAAAACUAAUAAAGGCGAUCUCAGUUCGGACUGCAGGCUGCAACUCGCCUGCACGAAGUUGGAAUUGCUAGUAAUCGUGGAUCAGCAUGCCACGGUGAAUACGUUCCCGGGUCUUGUACACACCGCCCGUCACACCAUGGGAGCCGGUAAUACCCGAAGUCAGUAGUCUAACCGCAAGGAGGACGCUGCCGAAGGUAGGAUUGGCGACUGGGGUGAAGUCGUAACAAGGUAUC